AGAGUUUGAUCCUGGCUCAGGAUGAACGCUAGCUAUAGGCUUAACACAUGCAAGUCGAGGGGCAGCAUGGUCUUAGCUUGCUAAGGCCGAUGGCGACCGGCGCACGGGUGAGUAACGCGUAUCCAACCUGCCUUACACUCUUGGACAGCCUUCUGAAAGGGAGAUUAAUACAAGAUGUUAUCAUGAGUAAGCAUUUUCGCAUGAUUAAAGGUUUACCGGUGUAAGAUGGGGAUGCGUUCCAUUAGAUAGUAGGCGGGGUAACGGCCCACCUAGUCUUCGAUGGAUAGGGGUUCUGAGAGGAAGGUCCCCCACAUUGGAACUGAGACACGGUCCAAACUCCUACGGGAGGCAGCAGUGAGGAAUAUUGGUCAAUGGACGAGAGUCUGAACCAGCCAAGUAGCGUGAAGGAUGAAGGUUCUAUGGAUUGUAAACUUCUUUUAUACGGGAAUAAACGGAUCCACGUGUGGAUUUUUGCAUGUACCGUAUGAAUAAGGAUCGGCUAACUCCGUGCCAGCAGCCGCGGUAAUACGGAGGAUCCGAGCGUUAUCCGGAUUUAUUGGGUUUAAAGGGAGCGUAGAUGGGUUGUUAAGUCAGUUGUGAAAGUUUGCGGCUCAACCGUAAAAUUGCAAUUGAUACUGGCAGUCUUGAGUACAGUUGAGGUAGGCGGAAUUCGUGGUGUAGCGGUGAAAUGCUUAGAUAUCACGAAGAACUCCGAUUGCGAAGGCAGCUUACUAACCUGUAACUGACAUUGAUGCUCGAAAGUGUGGGUAUCAAACAGGAUUAGAUACCCUGGUAGUCCACACGGUAAACGAUGAAUACUCGCUGUAGGCGAUAUACAGUCUGCGGCCAAGCGAAAGCAUUAAGUAUUCCACCUGGGGAGUACGCCGGCAACGGUGAAACUCAAAGGAAUUGACGGGGGCCCGCACAAGCGGAGGAACAUGUGGUUUAAUUCGAAGCAACGCGAAGAACCUUACCUAGACUUGACAUCUUCUGCAUUACCCUGUAAUGGGGGAAGUUCCUUCGGGAACAGAAUGACAGGUGGUGCAUGGUUGUCGUCAGCUCGUGUCGUGAGAUGUUGGGUUAAGUCCCGCAACGAGCGCAACCCCUAUUGUUAGUUGCUACCAUUAAGUUGAGCACUCUAGCGAGACUGCCCGGGUUAACCGGGAGGAAGGUGGGGAUGACGUCAAAUCAUCAUGCCCCUUAUGUCUAGGGCUACACACGUGCUACAAUGGCAAGUACAGAGAGAUGCGAUACCGCGAGGUGGAGCUAAACUUCAAAACUUGUCUCAGUUCGGAUUGUAGGCUGAAACUCGCCUACAUGAAGCUGGAGUUACUAGUAAUCGCGAAUCAGCAUGUCGCGGUGAAUACGUUCCCGGGCCUU
rnacentral:rRNA from 1 species